rnacentral:rRNA from 1 species
UUCCGGUUGAUCCUGCCGGACCUGACUGCUAUCGGAUUGAUACUAAGCCAUGCGAGUCUUUGCAGUAAUGCAAGGCAUACGGCUCAGUAACACGUAGUCAACUUACCCUAUGGACGAGGAUAAUCUCGGGAAACUGAGCAUAAUACUCGAUAGAUCAUAAUGCCUGGAAUGGUUUAUGGUUGAAACGAUUCGUCGCCAUAGGAUGGGACUGCGGCCUAUCAGCUUGUUGGUGAGGUAAUGGCCCACCAAGGCGAUUACAGGUACGGGCUCUGAGAGGAGAAGCCCGGAGAUGGGUACUGAGACAAGGACCCAGGCCCUAUGGGGCGCAGCAGGCGAGAAAACUUUGCAAUGUGCGAAAGCACGACAAGGUUAAUCCGAGUGAUUUCUGCUAAAGAAAUCUUUUGCAAGUCAUAAAACCACUAGUGAAUAAGGGGUGGGCAAGUUCUGGUGUCAGCCGCCGCGGUAAAACCAGCACCUCAAGUGGUCAGGAGGAUUAUUGGGCCUAAAGCAUCCGUAGCCGGCUCUGUAAGUUUUCGGUUAAAUCCAUGUGCUCAACGCAUGGGCUGCCGAAAAUACUGCAUAGCUAGGGAGUGGGAGAGGUAGACGGUACUCGGUAGGAAGGGGUAAAAUCCUUUGAUCUAUCGAUGACCACCUGUGGCGAAGGCGGUCUACCAGAACACGUUCGACGGUGAGGGAUGAAAGCUGGGGGAGCAAACCGGAUUAGAUACCCGGGUAGUCCCAGCUGUAAACGAUGCAGACUCGAUGAUGCAUUGGCAUAUAGCCAGUGCAGUGUCGCAGGGAAGCCGUUAAGUCUGCCGCCUGGGAAGUACGUACGCAAGUAUGAAACUUAAAGGAAUUGGUGGGGGAGCACCACAAGGGGUGAAGCCUGCGGUUCAAUUGGAGUCAACGCCGGG